rnacentral:rRNA from 1 species
UACGUAGGGGGCAAGCGUUGUCCGGAUUCAUUGGGCGUAAAGAGCUCGUAGGCGGCUUGGCAAGUCGGGUGUGAAAACUCCAGGCUCAACCUGGAGCGGCCACUCGAUACUGCCAUGGCUUGAGUCCGGUAGGGGACCACGGAAUUCCUGGUGUAGCGGUGAAAUGCGCAGAUAUCAGGAGGAACACCAGUGGCGAAGGCGGUGGUCUGGGCCGGGACUGACGCUGAGGAGCGAAAGCGUGGGGAGCGAACAGG